AUUGAACGCUGGCGGCAGGCCUAACACAUGCAAGUCGAGCGGAUGAAGGGAGCUUGCUCCUGGAUUCAGCGGCGGACGGGUGAGUAAUGCCUAGGAAUCUGCCUGGUAGUGGGGGAUAACGUCCGGAAACGGGCGCUAAUACCGCAUACGUCCUGAGGGAGAAAGUGGGGGAUCUUCGGACCUCACGCUAUCAGAUGAGCCUAGGUCGGAUUAGCUAGUUGGUGGGGUAAAGGCCUACCAAGGCGACGAUCCGUAACUGGUCUGAGAGGAUGAUCAGUCACACUGGAACUGAGACACGGUCCAGACUCCUACGGGAGGCAGCAGUGGGGAAUAUUGGACAAUGGGCGAAAGCCUGAUCCAGCCAUGUCGCGUGUGUGAAGAAGGUCUUCGGAUUGUAAAGCACUUUAAGUUGGGAGGAAGGGCAGUAAGUUAAUACCUUGCUGUUUUGACGGUACCAACAGAAUAAGCACCGGCUAACUUCGUG
rnacentral:rRNA from 1 species